UAUUAGCUAUAGUUUCUUAAUUAAUAAUAUUAAGUUUAAGUGAUUUUAUAAAUUACAAUAUGAGUGAGAUAACUUCAGAAAAUUUUUUUUCUGAAUUGCCUAUUAUUGAAACCAAAUUAAAAGAUUCAGCAUUUGUAUGUUUUGAUUUAGAAUUCUCUAAAUUGAACGACGAAAAGCAUGCUCCAUUCACAUUUUUUGACACCCUUGAAGAACGAUAUCAUAAAUUACAUUUAAAAGUAUCUGAUAUUACUUGUAUACAACUCGGGCUAUCUUUUUUUGUAUAUGAUGCACACGAUAAAGUAUUUCAAGUCAGCUCUUAUUCAUUCUACACAUUCCCUAAAACUUAUUUAAAAUAUGAUGGUAUAAUCAAGUUCCAAACAUCAUGUGUUGAAUUCUUAUGCAAGCAUAACUUUAAUUUUAAUAAGUUAUUUAACAAUGGUAUAUCCUACUUGACUGACGAACAAGAAAACCAAAUGAAGUUGGAAAUGGCAGAUGAUUCGUUUUCAGACAGUUAUUUAAAAAAAUCAAAAUAUCGUAUAAUUAAUGAAGAAAUGUGUCAUCAAUUAAAAAUUGUUACUGAAUGGUAUGAAAAUGCAAUUGAUGGAGAUAAUAUAUCAGUAAAGAAAUUGAAAAGCAAUGAUCCAGUUUUUACAUAUUUACUCCAAUACCAUAUCAUGAACAAAUGUGAACAUGUGUGCUUACAAGAGGAUCUUCAUACUAUUAAUAUAAUAAAAAUAACCAGUAAAGAUGAAAAGUCCAACACAUUAAAUGCUAAAAACAAUGAAGCCUCUAAACAAAUAUUAUUUAAAAAAAUGUUAGGUAUCAAACAUUUAUUAAAUUUACUAUCAGAAACAAAAAAACCAUUAGUUGGUCAUAAUUGUGCUAUGGAUAUAUUAAUAUUGUGCAACCAAUUUUAUAAUCCAUUACCUGAUACCUUCAAAGAAUAUAAAUCUUUUCUUUCUAACAAAUUUGGACCAAUUUAUGACACAAAGCUUAUGUGCAAAACAUUUAGAAAGUUAUUGCCAAAAAACGUUAACUGGGAUGGAAGUUCUCUUUCUGAGAUUUAUACAUUUUUAAAAGAUGGAGAUGCAAAAAUAUACUCCGAUGCACUUUUUAUCCAACCAUCUAUUGUUGAAGAGAGAAAUGAAAUGAAAUUGCAUCAUGCAGGUUGGGAUGCAUAUUACACUGGAUAUUGUUUUGUCAAAAUCAUUCAUAUUACUAAAAAUUUUUCUAGUAAAACGGAAAAUGUUAAUCGAAGAUACACUCUAACUGAACUUUUAAAAUCCGUAGAUUUACUAAAAAACAAAAUGUUCACUAGCAGGUUAUUAACAAAUUGCAUUGUAAGUACAAUAUAAUAUUGAGCAGAUGCAGGUGCAGACUCGCAAAGAAAGACAUGACAUGAAUAUCUUAAAUUUAGUAUGAAAUAUAAAAUCUAUUUUUUUUUUAAACUUAUAAACCAAACUUUUUAACUUCCAAAAAUGUAAUAAUCACUAUAAUAUACUUUUAAUGAUAUUGGUGUAAAAAUAUUGGGACAACAAACAUUUUUAAAUCACAAUUAAAACAAAAACGAAUAAUAUAUUUAAUACAAUAUAAUAAUUUAUUAAAAAUAAAAAAUAAAAAAAAACAUGAUGGUGGGGCGUGUUCCUUGUCAAUUUGUGAAAUUGUUUAGUUAUAAUCACUAUUCAAAUUAUCUAUUAUAAAUUUAUAAUCACUGUCUAUUGACUUUUGUUUUCUCCCUUGGAGGUUUUGGUACAUGAGGUCCUUAGAAAUCUCACUAUCUCCAAUUUCGGUUUAGUUUGGUGUUGAAAAAGUGUGAAACAAAGUAGGCCUUUGUUUGUCUAUUAUAUCUAAAAUACAAUGCGCACUGAGUUUAUCAUAAGGCUUUAUGUUUACAAAUACUAAUAGAAUAAGUAAUGCAAAUUGUUAUUACUUAUUUACACUCUAGGACAAAGAAUACUAGAAUUUUUCCCUACCAGAUUUAGAAGCUGAUGAUAAUAAUGUCUUACCGGAAUGUCUAAUAAUUAAAUCAAAAGGGUUAUUUCCGAAAU